UACGUAGGGGGCAAGCGUUGUCCGGAUUUAUUGGGCGUAAAGAGCGUGUAGGCGGUUCGGUAGGUCCGUUGUGAAAACUCGAGGCUCAACCUCGAGACGCCGAUGGAAACCCCCGAACUAGAGUCCGGAAGAGGAGAGUGGAAUUCCCGGUGUAGCGGUGAAAUGCGCAGAUAUCGGGAAGAACACCCGUGGCUAAGGCGGCUCUCUGGGCCGAUACUGACGCUGAGGAGCGAAAGCGUGGGGAGCGAACAGG
rnacentral:rRNA from 1 species